AUAAUAUACGCCAGUAAUAUCCAUUUACAUUUUUCGCCAAAACCCUAGCAUUUGCCUUAACACAUUUUUAUCGCCUCACACUCUCUGUUUUCACUUAGUUUCUGAUUCUUCACUUUCAUUACUUCAAACACUCGCAGCGAUGAGACCUCCAAGAGGCCGUGGUGGUGGUGGGUUUAGGGGCAGAGGUGAUGGUGGAAGAGGGAGAGGAAGAGGAGGUGGUGGAAGACGUGGUAAUAGGGGCGGUAGUGCCAUGAAAUCCCGCGGCAGACUGGUGUUUGAUUGUUUCUGUUUUCUUAUAGUUCGAUGGAACAAAAAGAUUCUCCAACUUUAGUUGACAAAAACUUUCCUCGUUCCUCUUUUCUCUUGUCACUGUGAAAUCAUUCUUUGGCUAGAUCCAUAGAAGUUGUUUAUUAACUAGAACUUGGUUUUCUGUAUUCUUGUUUACAAUUAUGGCUAUCGGUUCUUGCUGUAAUGUUAUAGAGGAAAAAGGUAGGUUCUAUUUUAUCUAUUUUCUUCAUUGUGUUAAACCAGAAAUAUUAUAAGGAAUGCAGGAUGAAAUAUUAUCUACUGAAGUAAUAAAAUAGAGUUCAUUAGUUUUCAUUCUUAUUGAGAAUCAAAUAUGUGAGUUGAAUCCUAAUGCUUUCAGGUUGUGAAUUAUGUUGUGUAAAUUAUACUAGGGUUCCAAGUUCCAACACCAGAAGUCCAAUGUUGCUGUUGUUGAUUUGUGGAGGAGGUAAAUUGGUCCUUUCAUACAUAUUUAAUAUUCUUUAUAGGGAUAGACACAGUGGUAUUCCCAGUCUGACUUUGUUUAGUGGGAGAAAAUAUGAUGAUUAGCACUCCGUCUACACUUAAACAACAGCUUUUCUAAUUAUGCUGGAAAUGGCAAUGGCAAUGACAAGGAAAAUGUUGUUGGGGUUUUGGAGACCAAUGGGGAUCUUAAACCCAAAUUCCAAGGGGAAAAACGAGCUAUACAGAGAAUUGGGAGAACCCUGUCAUGUUGGAUGCUCCCGUCUCUAGAGGUGUUGUAGCUGCUGAAGCUGGUUCACUUACUUUCAUGGUUGGUGGCUCUGAAGAUGUGUAUCUUGCUGCCAAAUACUUACUCCUUUCGAUGGGAAAAGAGGAACUGCAAGAGGCUAUUGAUUUUAUAUCUCUGUUCGGGUAAAGUGGGCUUUGUGCUUCAGUCAGAGCUGCCUUGGUUCUUAGUGGUAGUAUAGGUUCUAUCUAAUUCAAAAAUGAGAAAGAAAAGGAAAGAAUGGGCAGAUAAUGUAUCUUUCAAAAAUGAUGAAAGUGCCACGAGUAGAGUCAAAACUAAGAGUGUUUUGUUUCAAGAUUCAGUUCCGAACUCAGGUUUUUGAAUUUAAAAGGAGCUUAAAUACUGUAAAUUCUGCAUGUAAUGAGGUACAAAAUUUCCUUAAAUUGAAGGAUCUCAUGAAGAAAAUUCUCUAUCUGGGAAAUACAUUGAACCAAGGAACUGCAAGGGGUUUGAGUUUUUGUUGGAUACGUGGUCCAGGAUUAGCUGAAUUCAUGCAUAGUGACGACUUGUUUAAGCUAACUGUUUAUCUUAAAGUGUGCAUUCUAUUAUUAUUUUGUUCUAUUUGUAUUUUGUUAGAUUUCUGGUGUAGUAUGAUAAGUGCGGUAUUUUGUUUGGCGGGAUGUAUUUAUAUCAUAGAUUAUUCUUCUUCUCAAUAUUUUGAUAAUGAAUUUUAAUUUUUUUAUA